AUUGAACGCUGGCGGAAUGCUUUACACAUGCAAGUCGAGCGGCAGCGCGGGGGCAACCUUGGCGGCGAGCGGCGAACGGGUGAGUAACAUAUCGGAACGUACCCCGUCGUGGGGGAUAACACAGCGAAAGCUGUGCUAAUACCGCAUACGACCUGAGGGUGAAAGCGGGGGACCGUAAGGCCUCGCGCGAUGGGAGCGGCCGAUAUCGGAUUAGCUUGUUGGUGAGGUAAAGGCUCACCAAGGCGACGAUCCGUAGCUGGUCUGCGAGGACGACCAGCCACACUGGAACGGAGACACGGUCCAGACUCCUACGGGAGGCAGCAGUGGGGAAUUUUGGACAAUGGGGGCAACCCUGAUCCAGCCAUUCCGCGUGAGUGAAGAAGGCCUUCGGGUUGUAAAGCUCUUUCGGCAGGAACGAAACGGUGGCCACUAAUACUGGCUACUAAUGACGGUACCUGAAGAAGAAGCACCGGCUAACUACGUGCCAGCCGCCGCGGUAACAC
rnacentral:rRNA from 1 species